rnacentral:tRNA from 3 species
GCCGCGAUGGUCUAGCCUGGUCGGACGCCUCCCUGCUACGGAGGUAUCCUGCAAGGGAUUCCCCGGUUCAAAUCCGGGUCGCGGCG